AUUGAACGCUGGCGGCAGGCCUAACACAUGCAAGUCGAACGAGUGGCGGACGGGUGAGUAAUGUAUGGGAAACUGCCCGAUGGAGGGGGAUAACUACUGGAAACGGUAGCUAAUACCGCAUACCAUCGGAUGUGCCCAGAUGGGAUUAGCUAGUAGGUGGGGUAACGGCUCACCUAGGCGACGAUACCUAGCUGGUCUGAGAGGAUGACCAGCCACACGGGAACAGAGACUCGGUCCAUAUUCCUACGGUAGGCAGCAGGGGGGAAGAUUGCACAAUGGGCGCAAGCCUGAUGCAGCCAUGCCGCGUGUAUGAAGAAGGCCUUCGGGUUGUAAAGUACUUUCAGCGAGGAGGCGUUACUCGCAGAAGAAGCUCCGGCUAACUCCGUGGCAGCAGCCGCGGUAAUUC
rnacentral:rRNA from 1 species